GAACUUAGGUGUCCAACUUGCUCGCUGGUUCGCGAUACUGGCCAAAUAUGUGUCAUUCCGAAUGGACACCGGAUGGAAUGCUGCAUUUUAACUAAAAUACAGAUGAUGUUGGGCAGCCCGUAUGGAGAAUGCAUCGGCUGCGAGUGUUAGGACGAGUCGAUGCUGCUGCCGGUGGCUAUUUAAAAUAUUGUGUAUGGUGCGCUGCUGCCUCUUAGAUGACCAAUAAUCAUUGGGUCGCUACAAUAUGUCGAGGUUGGAGGAUAUGUCCCAUCGGUGCGGCUUUGGUUGAAGAGUGUCCCAAGUUGUGCUUCGCCUUCUAACAUUGCUAACGGUAUUCGAUGUUGAUGGCAAGUCCGAACGCGGUCUUCUAUUAGAUUGGAAGUAUGGUGCAUCCAGAUUGUGAAGUAACGUGAAGUAAUACCGGGAGCCUUCGAAUGGUCUGUCAGCUGAUGAUUUUUCCAUCAAUUUGAACCUGUCCACGGUUGGUAUUGGACGCACUGUAGGUCAUUUGUGUGCGCUCGAUGCCAUGAAAAAUAGAAAAAGUUUGGUAGAA